rnacentral:pre_miRNA from 1 species
GAAAUUCGUUGGCGAUUUUGAGUGAAAUCGGAGAGGAAAUUCGUCGGCGAUUUUGAGUGAAAUCGGAGAGGAAAUUCGCCGGCGAUUUUGAAUGAAAUCGGAGAGGAAAAUC